rnacentral:rRNA from 1 species
GAUGAACGCUGGCGGCGUGCCUAAUACAUGCAAGUCGAGCGAACAGACGAGGAGCUUGCUCCUCUGACGUUAGCGGCGGACGGGGGAGUAAAACGUGGAUAACCUACCUAUAAGACUGGGAUAAACUCGGGAAACCGGAGCCAAUACCGGCUAAUCUAUUCAACCGCAUGGUUCAAUAGUUACAGACGGUUUUGCUGUCACUUAUAGAUGGAUCCGCGCCGCAUUAGCUAGUUGGUAAGGUAACGGCUUACCAAGGCAACGAUGCGUAGCCGACCUGAGAGGGUGAUCGGCCACACUGGAACUGAGACACGGUCCAGACUCCUACGGGAGGCAGCAGUAGGGAAUCUUCCGCAAUGGGCGAAAGCCUGACGGAGCAACGCCGCGUGAGUGAUGAAGGUCUUCGGAUCGUAAAACUCUGUUAUUGGGGAAGAACAAAUGAGUAAGUAACUAUGCACGUAUUGACGGUACCUAAUCAGAAAGCCACGGCUAACUACGUG